rnacentral:snRNA from 1 species
AGCUUUGCACAGUGGCAGUAUCAUAGCCAGUGAGGUUUCUCUGAGGCAGAGUAUUGCUAAUUAAAAACUAAGCAGAAGAAAUGUCAUCAGAUGUAAUGAAAAAUGUUAGAAGCGUUAACCCUGUACC